rnacentral:rRNA from 1 species
GUGCCAGCAGCCGCGGUAAAACGUAGGACGCGAGCGUUAUCCGGAGUUACUGGGCGUAAAGGGCGGGUAGGCGGCUCAUCAAGUUGGAUGUGAAAUCUCCUGGCUAAACUGGGAGGGGGCAUUCGAAACUGAAGGGCUAGAGGGCAGCAGAGGGUCGUGGAAUUCCGGGUGGAGUGGUGAAAUGCGUAGAGAUCCGGAGGAACACCAGAGGCGAAAGCGGCGACCUGGGCUGUAACUGACGCUGAACCGCGAAAGCCAGGGGAGCGAACGGGAUUAGAUACCCCAGUAGUCC